AUUAUAUUGAGUCCUAGCUAGUCUAUAUCCACCACGUUCCACUUCCAGAAUUGCUCCGUUGCUGCCGGAAGCUCCGCCGGAUGUCACUCUUUUCGGCCGGAUGUCCAUUACCUUACGCUUUUUUUGAGUUGGAAUUUUAAACUCUGUUGAUUUAUGA